rnacentral:Y_RNA from 1 species
GGUUGGUCUGAAGAUAAUGUAUUAUCUCAACUGAUUGCUCACAGUCACAGAUCAAACUCCUUGUUCUGUUCUUACCCCCUUCUCACUACUGCACUUGACUAAUCUAAA